rnacentral:rRNA from 1 species
CACGUAGGGGGCGAGCGUUGUCCGGAUUUAUUGGGCGUAAAGGGCUCGUAGGCGGCUCAGUAAGUCGGGUGUGAAACCUCCAGGCUCAACCUGGAGACGCCACUCGAUACUGCUGUGGGUAGAGUCCGGUAGGGGAGCAUGGAAUUCCUGGUGUAGCGGUGAAAUGCGCAGAUAUCAGGAGGAACACCAGUGGCGAAGGCGGUGCUCUGGGCCGGAACUGACGCUGAUGAGCGAAAGCGUGGGGAGCAAACAGG